rnacentral:misc_RNA from 1 species
GAUGGAGCAUCUGGUGUCAUCGUCUGCUAAAAUCAGCUGUUUCUGUUUAUAGGAAGUGGAGGAGGAGAUCACGCCGGGUGGAGGUGACGGAGGGCGAGGAUGAGGAGGUGUAAGCACAGCUCCAGUGUGGUGUUACAGGAUGGUGGGGCUGCGGCCCCCUGAACGACUGGAGGCAUGGGCACUUUCCGCCUGGCUGCAGGCUCUCAACACUGCCGCAGGGCGAGGGAAGGGGGUGAGCGCUCCCCUUAAGGCACCUCCUGCUCUGCUGUCAGUUGCUUUGAGUCAGGCAGCUGUAGGGUUGCGAGAAACGGUAGUGGCGCGCCUGGCGGUGGCGGCCGUCACGGCUGGAGUCAGUCGCCUUGAUGUUCAUCUAGAGCAUCCGACGUUGGUGCAGACCCUACUGGAGGCCCUGCACGCCCACCCCCAGCACCUCACCUCCCUCACGCUCACCCUGGGGCCUCGCACCUCGCUAGACGGUCUGCUGAGUGAGGCAAUGUGCUACAUGACCUGUCUCACCUCGCUUGUUAUAACUCCCGCCGCUACAGAUGCCCACUUGGCUGCCCUGGCUCAAGCCACUCCACCGCUCGGCACCCUGGACGUGUCCUACUGCUCAGCCGUCACUGACAAGGGCGUGCGCGCCCUGCUAGGCCUGACGGAUGAUGCGCGACCAGUACGGGAGGUGGUUCUUGGCGUGUUUAAGGGUACAGCCGAGGCUCCUGCUUCCAAUCUUCAUACUGUCAAUCUUUGGGGCACGGGUGUCACCACGCUAGGGUGUGUCCUGCUGCUGGCUACUUGUCCCGCCCUCACAUCUCUUACGUGUCGCUGGUCAGGUGAGGCUCUGGACUUGUCAGUAAGGGCUGGACGGGAGGCUCCUUUAAGCCUCACACAACUCAUUCUCGCCGAAUCUUCACUGCCACCGUUGGCCCCAGUGGCCGCCCUCUGCCCACACCUGAGCUCGCUGGUGGCACGGCGUCCCUCUGAUGCCCCAAACGUCGAGGAGGUGUUGAGUGAAGUACCUACCCUCACCUCCCUCACUCUGAUGCAGUUUUUGCCGCAGCAGGAGAAUUGGCUGCCCGCCUCCCGCGCGCCAUUCCUUACACACCUGCAUCUGUCUUUCCUGGAGCCACGCCCCGUCCACCUGGUUCGCCUUGCAGACACCUUCCCAUCCCUAACUCAUCUUUUUCUGGAUGGAGUGACGCCCACACUCCCCUACCCUCCUCCGCCCCCGCCCGUCUCCAAGAUAGAAAGCUUACGUUUGGUCACUCUGCCCAUCACGAAUCCUGACUUGGACGCAGAGGUGGUGGAGUGGGCGCUGGUGUGGGUGUCCGCCGCCUCUAGCAUUGACCUUGGCUCCUGCAGACUUCUAACUGACGAGCAUCUCACUCGAGCCAUCGCGGCAGGUGCUCUGACCCAGGCAGAGGACGUGCGUCUGUCAGGAGCGCGUCAGAUUACGGAUGGCGCUAUCAUGGACCUGCUGACGGCGUGCCCGCAUCUGCGUCGCCUCGCCCUCAAGAUGCUGCCCAAGGAGCGUCUGGCCGAGCUCGAGUCCCUCAAGGUGACACUCCGCAAGCAAAAUCUUGAUCUUGAGCUGAUCACUUACGGCUGGAAGUUUUGAACUCGGAGGGUACCGCGGAUCUCCAGCAGCAGCAGCAGCAGCAGAGUCAGUGUUCUUACUCUGUCCACGAGAAAGGUGGAGCAGAGACGGUCAGGGCUCCGAACAGAUGGCUUCGCACAAUCAUGUUCUAUAUCUUAAGAUUUUGCUAACGUUAUUCAACAUAUUUUUUUGUAUACUCUAUAUCUGUAUCUUUUUAAGGAGGUGCUGUUUGCAUAUUAAAGAAAAAAAUCUUCAGUGUGUGUGUGUGUUACACCAAGACGCAGAGGCCGAGCACAAGCAACGGGAUGGGAUAUUCAGUGCCCUGCAUCACCAUGUGUUCUCUGUGCAUCAACUCCAUCUCAAUUAUUGGUGACCGUAAUGAAGCUCCAGGCAACCUUGCAGGGAGGCCCGUGAUGGAAUCGAGACUGGCUCCUCCAUCUUCAGGUGCACCACUUCGAUUAUGGAGUAAGCCAGACCACACUACAGAACAUGGGUGAGCGUGUCGAAAGAAUUCCGUGAGAUAUACUCGAAUGAAAUUCCAAAAUUCAUAGGAAUGCGGAUUUUAUACGGUAGUAUCAGAUUUACCUAUACCCGAAAGUAAGCCUAGGGUUAUUCUUUUCCUUUCCAAAACUUUUUUUCUCUCAUUCUCCCUCUUGGAUCGAAUAUAUAACUGCAUUCUGAUUCCGUAUCUUAAUAUUUUUCGCCAGCCUCUAUUCCCUCUGACGAAGUGCAUAAGUUAUAACAGAACAGCCAAGGUAACAGCACACUUUCUUGAAUCAGCGUGGCGUGAUGAGACAUUGAACCGACACAGCGCUCCGGUUGGCCGUGUACGGUGGAUGGAAUCCUUAUCCAUGACCUGUGAUUAUUUCUUUCGUGUGCUGGAGUUUAUGGUUUGUUUCUUAUCAAGUCCUGCGCGUCAUUUGGGUGAGUAAAGUCGGCGUGGAAGUUUGAGGUAAGACAUAAGCUUCCUUGAAGGCUGUAAGGUUAGGAUGGCGUUGGUCGAGCCGGUGGGGUAGUGCUUUCAGGUACGGAACACCGAUGGAGAGGUGGCAGGGUAGUGUCUAUGGUGCAGUGGUGGUGUGGUAGGUACGUACAGUACAACCUGGGUGAUUGGGCAGAUUAUGACAGUUUGCACGUUUGUGGUUUUGGUAUGCAGCCUUAGAGCCUAAACUGGGAUUACUGUGGGUGGCAGGCAUGGCGGUGGCAUAAUCCAUGGUCAUGUUUGUGUUUCUGGCAUUAUGGAGUUUGGUGGUUGCUGUAACUUCUCUCCACAUUAGAGGUGUGAGUCCCAUGCAUUGCAGAAUGACAUACAGGCAAAUUGUCUCCAUGUUAGCCGUUAUUUGCUUUACCAUAAUGUGCGUCAGUGCCGACCAGCUUGUUAUAAUGUUAUGACAGUAUUUGAUAUGUAGUACCUGUUGUUUAUAGUGUCGCCGCAGUCUUAGUAAAAAAAGUAGAAUUUUAGUGAUAUUUUAGUAGUUUUAUAUAUUUUUUUAAAUGCGUCUUUUAACUGCUAUGGUCAGUAAUCAAAAACACACAAUCCCAGACACUAAUAUUUAUUAUCACAAUACUUCAUGGUAGAUACAUCUUUGUACAAAAAUAAUUUGAGAAUGUAUAAUUUAUAAUGACAUACUCAAGUGUUGGCAUGGUGGUUUAGGACCUUGUAACUCUCUAUGCAAUGAUUAUUAGUCUGUUGACUUUGCUUAACAUCAUCUCAAUAAGUGUUACUGAGAACAGGUGUGAUUCACUACAAAACAUUGCUAAUUCUUAAUGACAUUGUACAGAAAAAUGGAGCACUACCAGGUGUAAUUUGAACAGGAUGGCAUCAACAUAUUAAGUCUUGCAAUCACACCACAGUGUAUAAUAUAGUAACACAUAAGUAACUGUGAUGCUCCACGGACACUGGCAGAAGGAAACAGUGAAUCUUGAAACUUGAACACUGAAAUUUUUAAAUGACAUUAGCACAUUGUUGUCCAUUGGUUAAGGAUGACUAGGCUUCCAGUAGAUCUAGAUGUCAUACUUUCUACACCGUUACCAAACACAGCACCGUCCACAAAGGGAGUAGGGUCUAUGGAGUAAUUUCAAUACUUAUAUUUUGCUUUAACAUCAUCAAGGGUACCUACCUUUACCUAACCAAUUCUUAUUAAAUACUCAACAUCUUUUAAAACUCUCCUAUCCUUAUCACUUGCCUAAUUGUUUGCAAGUGUAGUUAGUGAAAUUACUUCUAUCACCAUCACCUGCCAUGACUGCUUGUAGCUACCUUUUGUUAAAUUUGCUGAAAGUUGUUCAAAAUACUGAUUACUGAUGUGUACUUUAUAUAAAUAAUUAUUUCUCUGGCAUAUAUAGUUUG